rnacentral:rRNA from 1 species
AACGAACGCUGGCGGCAUGCCUAACACAUGCAAGUCGAACGAGACCUUCGGGUCUAGUGGCGCACGGGUGCGUAACGCGUGGGAACCUGCCCUUAGGUUCGGAAUAACUCCCCGAAAGGGGUGCUAAUACCGGAUAAUGUCUUCGGACCAAAGAUUUAUCGCCUUUGGAUGGGCCCGCGUUGGAUUAGCUAGUUGGUAGGGUAAAAGCCUACCAAGGCGACGAUCCAUAGCUGGUCUGAGAGGAUGAUCAGCCACACUGGGACUGAGACACGGCCCAGACUCCUACGGGAGGCAGCAGUGGGGAAUAUUGGACAAUGGGCGAAAGCCUGAUCCAGCAAUGCCGCGUGAGUGAAGAAGGCCUUCGGGUUGUAAAGCUCUUUUGUCAGGGAAGAAACAGCAGCUCUAACACAGUCUGCGAAUGACGGUACCUGAAGAAUAAGCACCGGCUAACUACGUG